rnacentral:rRNA from 1 species
AAGUCGAACGGUAACAGAAAGAAGCUUGCUUCUUUGCUGACGAGUGGCGGACGGGUGAGUAAUGCUUGGGAAUUUGCCUUGAGGUGGGGGACAACAGUUGGAAACGACUGCUAAUACCGCAUAAUUGCUACGGCACAAAGGGGGCUCCGGCUCUCGCCUUUAGAGAAGCCCAAGUGGGAUUAGAUAGUUGGUGGGGUAAUGGCCUACCAAGUCAACGAUCCCUAGCUGGUCUGAGAGGAUGAUCAGCCACACUGGAACUGAGACACGGUCCAGACUCCUACGGGAGGCAGCAGUGGGGAAUAUUGCACAAUGGGGGAAACCCUGAUGCAGCCAUGCCGCGUGUGUGAAGAAGGCCUUCGGGUUGUAAAGCACUUUCAGCGAGGAGGAAGGGUUAGUAGUUAAUACCUGCUAGCUUUGACGUUACUCGCAGAAGAAGCACCGGCUAACUCCGUGCCAGCAGCCGCGGUAAUACGGAGGGUGCGAGCGUUAAUCGGAAUUACUGGGCGUAAAGCGUACGCAGGCGGUCAUUUAAGUCAGAUGUGAAAGCCCCGGGCUCAACCUGGGAACUGCAUUUGAAACUGGAUGACUAGAGUGCGACAGAGGGUGGUAGAAUUUCAGGUGUAGCGGUGAAAUGCGUAGAGAUCUGAAGGAAUACCGAUGGCGAAGGCAGCCACCUGGGUCGACACUGACGCUCAUGUAC